CGUGCUCUUUGUUCUGUAAAAGGGUUGGAUAAGACGCCCCUAGAAGGCAACUAUAGGCUCUCCUUCUCAACUCCUACUCAAUACGUCCACGACGUGCAGAACGGUAACUUGUCAUCUCUGAGCGUC
rnacentral:ribozyme from 1 species